CUGGUUAUAAGCUUCUGAACAAUGAUGAGGAUGGUGGCAUUUGACAUUCGUUUACAGAGGAUGAAACUGAGGCACAGAGAAGUCAAGCGUCUUGUGCAGGGCCAGGAUUGGGACCCACGCAGCCUGCUCCAGAGCCGGGCUCUGACCCUCCACAAGAGCCAUCACUAAAGUUCCACUUACCGCUGCACCUUCAAUCUCUUCCUCUCUCCAUCCCUCCCACAUGUUCACAGACAAAAUCUUCUUCCUUAUUUAAUAAAACAAUAUAAUGACCAGCCUGGCAAA
ensembl:lncRNA LINC02396 long intergenic non-protein coding RNA 2396